rnacentral:rRNA from 1 species
GACGAACGCUGGCGGCGUGCUUAACACAUGCAAGUCGAACGGAAAGGCCCUGCUUUUGUGGGGUUCUCGAGUGGCGAACGGGUGAGUAAAACGUGAGUAACCUGCCCUUGACUUUGGGAUAACUUCAGGAAACUGGGGCUAAUACAGGAUAGGAGCUCCUGCUGCAUGGUGGGGGUUGGAAAGUUUCGGCGGUUGGGGAUGGACUCGCGGCUUAUCAGCUGGUUGGUGGGGUAGUGGCUGACCAAGGCUUCGACGGGUAGCCGGCCUGAGAGGGUGACCGGCCACAUUGGGACUGAGAUACGGCCCAGACUCCUACGGGCGGCAGCAGUGGGGAAUAUUGCGCAACGGGCGGAAGCCUGAUGCAGCAGCCCCGCGUGCGGGAUGCCGGCCUUCGGGUUGUAAACCGCUUUGGCAUGUGACGAAGCGUGAGUGACGGUAAUGGGUAAAGAAGCACCGGCUAACUACGUG